UCGGGAAUUUGCGCAAUGGCCGAAAGGCUGACGCAGCAACGCCGCGUGAGUGAAGAAGGCCUUCGGGUUGUAAAGCUCUGUUGUUAGGGAAGAACAGCUGGGGUAGGAAAUGACCUCGGUUUGACGGUACCUGACGAGGAAGCCACGGCUAACUACGUGCCAGCAGCCGCGGUAAUA
rnacentral:rRNA from 1 species